rnacentral:rRNA from 1 species
AUGGAUCCGCCGCCGACGCGCAUGGGAUGGCAACAGCAGGCUUGCAAGUACGGAGAGACCAGGGAUGGGAAGCUCUGCAUGGCGUGGACUUCCGAUCGUGGUCGUGUGCUGGAUGUUUCGAUCCGGAGAGCCGAUGACGACGACGACGGUGUCCAGAAAUGGAUGCCGGGCACGACUGGAUUUGAGAUGCUGGAUGCGAUUGAUGAGUUGAAGCUGCCGUUUGAAGAUGAAAGCCGUAUGCUGGAGGUGGACGUUGUUGCCAUCAUCCGUGGCACUGUGUAUUUGUCUACCUUCGAUGCAUGGGCAUCCCCUCCUGCUUAUUCUGGCUGGUUCCUAUCCUUCUGCAUUGAAACAGAGGAGCUGAAGAAGGUCUGCCCUAUCACUCGCUCCGAUUCUUUUAUCCCUAUGUCAUGGCGUGGCCUCCCGUUUUGGUGCGCAAUAAGGUGGACUCGUAAGAGGAACAGGGAAACUAGAGCUCGGUCAUUGUAUCUGUACUCCAUAUAUUACCUUUUGUUCUAA